AGACAAUCAGGAGGUUUGCUUAGAAGCAGCAAUCCUUUAAAGAGUGCGUAAUAGCUCACUGAUCGAGUAAACCUGCGCCGAAAAUGUACGGGACUAAGUAAUUUGCCGAAACUGUGCGAUAUAUAAAAUAUAUCGGUAGGGGAGCGUUCUGUUGUAGGUUGAAGUAUUAGCGGAAGCGGAUAUGGACGAAGCAGAAGUGAGAAUGUCGGCUUGAGUAACGAAAAUAUAGGUGAGAAUCCUAUACCCCGAAAACCCAAGGUUUCCUCCGGAAGGCUCGUCCGCGGAGGGUAAGUCAGGACCUAAGGCGAGGCUGAAAAGCGUAGUCGAUGGACAACGGGUUAAUAUUCCCGUACCAUUAUUUGUUGAUAUCGAGGGACGGAGAAGGCUAAGCUGGCCGGAUAUUGGUUACCGGUUUAAACGUUCGAGAUGAUGAGAAACGGCGAAAACGUUUUGAGUUGAGGCGUGAGUACGAGAUGCUACGGCAUUGAAGCAGUCUAUGUCAUACUUCCAAGAAAAGCUUGCACUGUCAUAAACAAAUAAUGCCUGUACCAUAACCGACACAGGUGGGUAGGUAGAGUAUACUAAGGGGCGCGAGAUAACUCUCUCUAAGGAACUCGGCAAAAUGACUCCGUAACUUCGGGAGAAGGAGUGCCUUAUUUAUAAGGUUGCAAUAACAAGAUCCAAGCAACUGUUUAUCAAAAACACAGGUCUCCGCUAAGUCGUAAGACGAUGUAUGGGGGCUGACGCCUGCCCAGUGCCAGAAGGUUAAAGAAGUUGGUUAGCAUUAGCGAAGCUGAUAACUGAAGCCCUGGUGAACGGCGGCCGUAACAAUAACGGUCCUAAGGUAGCGAAAUUCCUUGUCGGGUAAGUUCCGACCUGCACGAAUGGUGUAACCAUGGCCACGCUGUCUCCACCCGAGACUCAGUGAAAUUGAAAUCGCAGUGAAGAUGCUGUGUACCCGCACCUAGACGGAAAGACCCCGUGAACCUUUACUACAGCUUGGCACUGAACAUUGAACCUACAUGUGUAGGAUAGGUGGGAGGCUUUGAAGCACAGUCGCUAGAUUGUGUGGAGCCGUCCUUGAAAUACCACCCUUGUAUGUUUGAUGUUCUAACAUUGUUCCCUUAUCGGGAAUGUGGACAGUGUCUGGUGGGUAGUUUGACUGGGGCGGUCUCCUCCCAAAUAGUAACGGAGGAGCACGAAGGUUAGCUAAUCACGGUCGGACAUCGUGAGGUUAGUGCAAUGGCAUAAGCUAGCUUAACUGCGAGACAGACACGUCGAGCAGGUACGAAAGUAGGUCAUAGUGAUCCGGUGGUUCUGUAUGGAAGGGCCAUCGCUCAACGGAUAAAAGGUACUCCGGGGAUAACAGGCUGAUACCGCCCAAGAGUUCACAUCGACGGCGGUGUUUGGCACCUCGAUGUCGGCUCAUCACAUCCUGGGGCUGAAGCCGGUCCCAAGGGUAUGGCUGUUCGCCAUUUAAAGUGGUACGCGAGCUGGGUUUAGAACGUCGUGAGACAGUUCGGUCCCUAUCUGGUGUGGGCGUUGGAUGAUUGAUGGGAGCUGCUCCUAGUACGAGAGGACCGGAGUGGACGAACCGCUGGUGUUCGGGUUGUCAUGCCAAUGGCAUUGCCCGGUAGCUAUGUUCGGAACGGAUAACCGCUGAAAGCAUCUAAGCGGGAAGCCCCUUCCAAGAUGAGAUCUCCCUGGACCCUUGAGGUCCCUGAAGAGCCGUUCAAGACCAGGACGUUGAUAGGUCGGGUGUGUAAGCGCUGCGAGGCGUUGAGCUAACCGAUACUAAUUGCUCGUGCG
rnacentral:rRNA from 11 species